rnacentral:rRNA from 1 species
UACGGAGGGUGCAAGCGUUAUCCGGAUUCACUGGGCUUAAAGGGUGCGUAGGCGGGCAAGUAAGUCAGUGGUGAAAUCUCCGGGCUUAACCCGGAAACUGCCAUUGAUACUAUUUGUCUUGAAUACUGUGGAGGUCAGCGGAAUAUGUCAUGUAGCGGUGAAAUGCUUAGAUAUGACAUAGAACACCAAUUGCGAAGGCAGCUGGCUACACAAAUAUUGACACUGAGGCACGAAAGCGUGGGGAUCAAACGGG